rnacentral:lncRNA from 1 species
CGCUAUGGGGUCCCAUUGGAUCCCAUUGGGUUUGGGCUGUCCCUAUGGGGUCCCAUUGGGGUCUGGGGGCCGCUAUAGGGUCUGGGGGUCCCUAUGGGGUCUGGUGGUCCCAUUGGGGUCCCACUGGGGUCCCACUGGAUCCCAUUGGGUUUGGGCCUGUCCCUAUGGGGUCCCAUUGGGGUCUGGGGGUCCCACCGGGGUCCCAUUGGAUCCCAUUGGGUUUGAGCUGUCGCUGUGGGGUCCCAUUGGGGUCUGGGGGUCCCACUGGGAUCCCAUUGGAUCCCACUGGGUUUGAGCUGUCGCUGUGGGGUCCCAUUGGGGUCUGGGGGUCGUUAUGGGCUCUGGGGGUCCCGUUGGGGUCCCACUGGAUCCCAUUGCGGUCUGGGGGUCCCAUUGGAUCCCAUUGGGGGUCCCUAUGGGGUCUGAGGGUCCCACUGGGGUCCUAUUGGAUCCUAUUAGGUUUGGGCUGUUCCUGUGGGGUCCCAUUGGGGUCUGGGGGUCCCAUUGGGCUCCCAUUAGAUCCCAUUGGGGUCUGGGGGUCCCUAUGGGGUCUGGGGGUCCUGCUGGGGUCCCACUGGAUCCCACUGGGAUCUGGGGGUCCCUACGGGGUCUGGGGGUUGCAUGGGAUCCCAUUGGGUUUGGGCCUGUCCCUAUGGGUUCCCAUUGGGGUCUAGGGGUCCCAUUGGGGCCUGGGGGUCCCACUGGGGCGCGUGGGUCGCUAUGGGGCGCCCCAGUGGGUCGCUAUGGGGUGGGGGGGGUGGGGUGGGGGACGCACGUGUACGCGGCCAGGCUGCUGUCGUAGGUGGUCUUGACGCCGUAGUUCUCCUCGUUGAAGCGGAACAUCUCGGCCGGGUCCCACCCGUUGGACUGCGACGCACGGGACCCCCGUCACCACCCCCCA